CUGGCAUUAACUGAACAUGCUGAAAGCAACCAAACUGUCAGUGAGGCAGCCAAUACAUUCUGGGAUCAGUGAUUGCUGACAGCUACCAUUCUAAGUCAGCCAGUACAUGAAUAGAUUCACGAUCUUGCCUACCUGACUUCAGAGAUCUGCAUGCGGCAACGGAUAUGGAGGGGUCAGGAUGUGACCUGACGCCUCAUUGGCUGGAGUUUC